UUUAUUUUUUUUCGCUCAAAAAUAUCACUCAAUUCAUGAUUCCGGGCUAUGUAUUAAAUAGACAUCUGCAUGAUUACAUUCAUAACAUACGUCUAACAGAGUACAUUCGAAUCGAAUAGAAUGAAGUAAGUGGAAUGAUGGAAAUGAAAUGACAUUGUAUGAAUGUAAGCUUGGGUUCCUCUCGUAAUUUGAGACGUCAGAGAAUGAACGAGACGAAAAGUCAAAUGAGAAAUAUGUCAAUGUCAUGUAUACCCGAAUCCUUCGAGUUGUUUCUUAUCAUUCGAGCACAAUUCUUUCUGAGAGCUGCAACAAAUUUGUCUACAAAUUUUUAACAAUUUUUAACUUAAUAUCAAAAAAAAGAAAAAAAAAAUGAGCAGCAACAAAAAGACGGCAUUAUGGGCAACCAAUUUAUAAAAGAAGCCGACGAGCUUGUUGUGUGUAUUACUCUGUGUAAAUUAGUGCAUUAUUAAAUGCAAGAUGGCUUUUGCUUAUUCCGCCUCUGUAAGUUGUUUAGGGACUCGCCCAGCCCAGGUGCCAAUAUAAAGAAAAAAAAUAGAGGCGAUUUUGAAGGACUUUGGAUGUGACCUUGAAGUAAUCAAACCCGUAAUCGUAACUGAUCGUUGGUCGAACAUGAUUAAAGUCUUUUCGGACUCGAAGAAAAUUCCCUGCAUUUAAUUUGUUUUUUUUCCUUUUAUUUACAUUUACAACUCGAAUCAUUCGAAUGAAACAUCUCUGUUUUCAACGUUCUCAAUUCA